AACGAACGCUGGCGGCAUGCCUAACACAUGCAAGUCGAACGAGACCUUCGGGUCUAGUGGCGCACGGGUGCGUAACGCGUGGGAACCUGCCCUUAGGUUCGGAAUAACUACCCGAAAGGGGUGCUAAUACCGGAUAAUGUCUUCGGACCAAAGAUUUAUCGCCUUUGGAUGGGCCCGCGUUGGAUUAGCUAGUUGGUAGGGUAAAAGCCUACCAAGGCGACGAUCCAUAGCUGGUCUGAGAGGAUGAUCAGCCACACUAGGACUGAGACACGGCCCAGACUCCUACGGGAUGCAGCAGUGGGGAAUAUUGGACAAUGGGCGAAAGCCUGAUCCAGCAAUGCCGCGUGAGUGAUGAAGUCCUUAGGGUUGUAAAGCUCUUUUACCCGGGAUGAUAAUGACAGUACCGGGAGAAUAAGCUCCGGCUAACUCCGUG
rnacentral:rRNA from 1 species